UGGGGUGAAGAAAUCAACCUAAGUAAGCAUCCGCAGGGAACAGAAGUGAAAGCAAUCACCUACUCAGCUAUGCAAGUACAUGACACAGAAAAACCAGAGAUCUUUGUCAUCAGCGAUAUUUAAAAAACAAAAAUACAUUAGAUAUAAUUUAAUACCUCGUGUUAAUUUACAUCAUUUUAAAAGAUUGUACCUUCUAGUUGGAAUGGAUAUGUGAGAGGUGUCAUUUCUGUAAAUUAUAAAAUGUUUUGUGGAUUGUGGAUGACUGAAA